rnacentral:misc_RNA from 1 species
CACGAAUCUGAAGAAAUCCCUCUUCUCUAAGAGAAUUUCUGAUCAAUUUACACUUUCUCUAUCAGUUUUCUUGUUAAUUUAAUGGAUUUUUCAGAGAUAUGGGCUAUAUUUGGACCUGGGGUCGCCGGCGCUGUCUUCGGCGCCGGAUGGUGGUUCUGGGUUGACGCCGUUGUUUGUAGCGCCGUCAAAAUCUCUUUCCUUCAUUAUCUUCCAGGUAUAUUUGCGUCUUUGGCUGCUUUGAUGUUUAAUUGCGUCAGAAAAGAGGAUAUUGAUUACUCACCUUAUGAUGAAGGAGAGUGGAGGUUGAAGCUGUGGCUAUUUAUUGCAUAUGUUGUAUCGUUUGUGUCUUUGGCUGCAUCAGUUGGUCUAUUGAUUCAAGAUGCGCUGGAAAAAUCUGGUCCUUCAGCUUGGACAGGAGUUGCAGGUGUUCUGCAAUGUGUGUGUGUCUUAAUCAGCGGGCUGGUCUAUUGGACAUCACACUCAGAAUCUUGAGAGGACACUGGAUGCCGUCUUACUCGAUCCAUUCUGUCAAGAAAGAGUUACAGUUUACUUGUAUAAAUGUGUGUUGGUUGUGCAGUGAGGCUAAGCACCAAAUAUAAAAACGCUCAUCGCUUCUUUCUUAUGAUAAUUAUUUAACUUGAAAAUUUCAUUGGAAAGCUCAAGGAAAUAUGUCUUGAAG